rnacentral:rRNA from 1 species
AGUGAUCGCUGGCGGCGUGCUUAACACAUGCAAGUCGAGCGGAUUUCUGCAGUGUAUCGCAGGAAUUAGCGGCAGACGGGUGAGUAAUACUUGGGCAAUCUGCCCUUGAGUGGGAAACAACCGGCCGAAAGGCUGGCUAAUGUCCCAUAAGACCACGGGAUGGCAUCAUCCAGGGGUCAAAGCUCCGCAAGGGGCGGCUUGAGGAGGAGCCUGAGCCUAUCAUGGUAGUUGGUGAGGUAACGGCUCACCAAG